rnacentral:tRNA from 1 species
GCCGAGAUAGCUCAGUUGGUAGAGCAGUGGACUGAAAAUCCGCGUGUCGGCGGUUCAAUUCCGUCUCUCGGCACCA